rnacentral:rRNA from 1 species
UUAAGCGACUAAGCGUACACGGUGGAUGCCCUGGCAGUCAGAGGCGAUGAAGGACGUGCUAAUCUGCGAUAAGCGUCGGUAAGGUGAUAUGAACCGUUAUAACCGGCGAUUUCCGAAUGGGGAAACCCAGUGUGUUUCGACACACUAUCAUUAACUGAAUCCAUAGGUUAAUGAGGCGAACCGGGGGAACUGAAACAUCUAAGUACCCCGAGGAAAAGAAAUCAACCGAGAUUCCCCCAGUAGCGGCGAGCGAACGGGGAGGAGCCCAGAGCCUGAAUCAGUGUGUGUGUUAGUGGAAGCGUCUGGAAAGGCGCGCGAUACAGGGUGACAGCCCCGUACACAAAAAUGCACAUAUUGUGAGCUCGAUGAGUAGGGCGGGACACGUGGUAUCCUGUCUGAAUAUGGGGGGACCAUCCUCCAAGGCUAAAUACUCCUGACUGACCGAUAGUGAACCAGUACCGUGAGGGAAAGGCGAAAAGAACCCCGGCGAGGGGAGUGAAAAAGAACCUGAAACCGUGUACGUACAAGCAGUGGGAGCCUCUUUUAUGGGGUGACUGCGUACCUUUUGUAUAAUGGGUCAGCGACUUAUAUUCUGUAGCAAGGUUAACCGAAUAGGGGAGCCGAAGGGAAACCGAGUCUUAACUGGGCGUUAAGUUGCAGGGUAUAGACCCGAAACCCGGUGAUCUAGCCAUGGGCAGGUUGAAGGUUGGGUAACACUAACUGGAGGACCGAACCGACUAAUGUUGAAAAAUUAGCGGAUGACUUGUGGCUGGGGGUGAAAGGCCAAUCAAACCGGGAGAUAGCUGGUUCUCCCCGAAAGCUAUUUAGGUAGCGCCUCGUGAACUCAUCUCCGGGGGUAGAGCACUGUUUCGGCAAGGGGGUCAUCCCGACUUACCAACCCGAUGCAAACUGCGAAUACCGGAGAAUGUUAUCACGGGAGACACACGGCGGGUGCUAACGUCCGUCGUGAAGAGGGAAACAACCCAGACCGCCAGCUAAGGUCCCAAAGUCAUGGUUAAGUGGGAAACGAUGUGGGAAGGCCCAGACAGCCAGGAUGUUGGCUUAGAAGCAGCCAUCAUUUAAAGAAAGCGUAAUAGCUCACUGGUCGAGUCGGCCUGCGCGGAAGAUGUAACGGGGCUAAACCAUGCACCGAAGCUGCGGCAGCGACACUAUGUGUUGUUGGGUAGGGGAGCGUUCUGUAAGCCUGUGAAGGUGUGCUGUGAGGCAUGCUGGAGGUAUCAGAAGUGCGAAUGCUGACAUAAGUAACGAUAAAGCGGGUGAAAAGCCCGCUCGCCGGAAGACCAAGGGUUCCUGUCCAACGUUAAUCGGGGCAGGGUGAGUCGACCCCUAAGGCGAGGCCGAAAGGCGUAGUCGAUGGGAAACAGGUUAAUAUUCCUGUACUUGGUGUUACUGCGAAGGGGGGACGGAGAAGGCUAUGUUGGCCGGGCGACGGUUGUCCCGGUUUAAGCGUGUAGGCUGGUUUUCCAGGCAAAUCCGGAAAAUCAAGGCUGAGGCGUGAUGACGAGGCACUACGGUGCUGAAGCAACAAAUGCCCUGCUUCCAGGAAAAGCCUCUAAGCAUCAGGUAACAUCAAAUCGUACCCCAAACCGACACAGGUGGUCAGGUAGAGAAUACCAAGGCGCUUGAGAGAACUCGGGUGAAGGAACUAGGCAAAAUGGUGCCGUAACUUCGGGAGAAGGCACGCUGAUAUGUAGGUGAAGUCCCUCGCGGAUGGAGCUGAAAUCAGUCGAAGAUACCAGCUGGCUGCAACUGUUUAUUAAAAACACAGCACUGUGCAAACACGAAAGUGGACGUAUACGGUGUGACGCCUGCCCGGUGCCGGAAGGUUAAUUGAUGGGGUCAGCGCAAGCGAAGCUCUUGAUCGAAGCCCCGGUAAACGGCGGCCGUAACUAUAACGGUCCUAAGGUAGCGAAAUUCCUUGUCGGGUAAGUUCCGACCUGCACGAAUGGCGUAAUGAUGGCCAGGCUGUCUCCACCCGAGACUCAGUGAAAUUGAACUCGCUGUGAAGAUGCAGUGUACCCGCGGCAAGACGGAAAGACCCCGUGAACCUUUACUAUAGCUUGACACUGAACAUUGAGCCUUGAUGUGUAGGAUAGGUGGGAGGCUUUGAAGUGUGGACGCCAGUCUGCAUGGAGCCGACCUUGAAAUACCACCCUUUAAUGUUUGAUGUUCUAACGUUGACCCGUGAUCCGGGUUGCGGACAGUGUCUGGUGGGUAGUUUGACUGGGGCGGUCUCCUCCUAAAGAGUAACGGAGGAGCACGAAGGUUGGCUAAUCCUGGUCGGACAUCAGGAGGUUAGUGCAAUGGCAUAAGCCAGCUUGACUGCGAGCGUGACGGCGCGAGCAGGUGCGAAAGCAGGUCAUAGUGAUCCGGUGGUUCUGAAUGGAAGGGCCAUCGCUCAACGGAUAAAAGGUACUCCGGGGAUAACAGGCUGAUACCGCCCAAGAGUUCAUAUCGACGGCGGUGUUUGGCACCUCGAUGUCGGCUCAUCACAUCCUGGGGCUGAAGUAGGUCCCAAGGGUAUGGCUGUUCGCCAUUUAAAGUGGUACGCGAGCUGGGUUUAGAACGUCGUGAGACAGUUCGGUCCCUAUCUGCCGUGGGCGCUGGAGAACUGAGGGGGGCUGCUCCUAGUACGAGAGGACCGGAGUGGACGCAUCACUGGUGUUCGGGUUGUCAUGCCAAUGGCACUGCCCGGUAGCUAAAUGCGGAAGAGAUAAGUGCUGAAAGCAUCUAAGCACGAAACUUGCCCCGAGAUGAGUUCUCCCUGACUCCUUGAGAGUCCUGAAGGAACGUUGAAGACGACGACGUUGAUAGGCCGGGUGUGUAAGCGCAGCGAUGCGUUGAGCUAACCGGUACUAAUGAACCGUGAGGCUUAACCUU